rnacentral:tRNA from 1 species
GCCUGAAUGGUCUAGUGGUAUGAUUCCUGCUUUGGGCUUGGACUAAGCACUUGGUCACAUGACUUGAAUGCAGGAGGUCCUCGGUUCAAACCCGGGUUCAGGCC